GUAGGUGGCAAGCGUUGUCCGGAAUUAUUGGGCGUAAAGCGCGCGCAGGCGGUUCGUUUAAGUCUGAUGUGAAAGCCCACGGGCUCAACCGUGGAGGGUCAUUGGAAACUGGAGAACUUGAGUACAGAAGAGGAAAGCGGAAUUCCACGUGUAGCGGUGAAAUGCGUAGAGAUGUGGAGGAACACCAGUGGCGAAGGCGGCUUUCUGGUCUGUAACUGACGCUGAGGCGCGAAAGCGUGGGGAGCAAACAGGAUUAGAUACCCUGGUAGUCCACGCCGUAAACGAUGAGUGCUAAGUGUUAGGGGGGUUUCCGCCCCCUUAGUGCUGCAGCUAACGCAUUAAGCACUCCGCCUGGGGAGUACGGCCGCAAGGCUG
rnacentral:rRNA from 1 species